rnacentral:rRNA from 1 species
GCACAAGCGGUGGAUGAUGUGGUUAAUUCGAUGCAACGCGAAAACCUUACCACCUUUGACAUGUACGGAAUCCUUUAGAGAUAGAGGAGUGCUCGAAAGAGAGCCGUAACACAGGUGCUGCAUGGCUGUCGUCAGCUCGUGUCGUGAGAUGUUGGGUUAAGUCCCGCAACGAGCGCAACCCUUGUCAUUAGUUGCUACAUUCAGUUGGGCACUCUAAUGAGACUGCCGGUGACAAACCGGAGGAAGGUGGGGAUGACGUCAAGUCCUCAUGGCCCUUAUAGGUGGGGCUACACACGUCAUACAAUGGAUGGUACAAAGGGUCGCCAACCCGCGAGGGGGAGCCAAUCCCAUAAAGCCAUUCGUAGUCCGGAUCGCAGUCUGCAACUCGACUGCGUGAAGUCGGAAUCGCUAGUAAUCGUGGAUCAGAAUGUCACGGUGAAUACGUUCCCGGGUCUU